UUCAACUUAAAACAAGUUUUACUGUGGAUGAAAUGCUAUUAAACAGCAGCGCUAUAAGAUAAAUCUUUUGUGAAAGCAAGAGUCAACUGAUGCAUUAGGAAACCAAAAACUAGCAGGACCUGUACUCUGGAAGCAUCUGACUGGAAUGAAGAAUGAGGAGAGAAAGCAAAGAUCAGUUGUUGACAGAUUUACUGAACCAUAAAGAAAGGAAAAGAAGAAAACUGGCUCAUUGUUACAAAUCACUUCCUACUGUGGAUUUGAAGUCUUCUUAUUUUCUGCUUUUCAUCUAAAUUCAGCAUCAUGAUGCUGCAAUACAAUCAAAAGAAAAUGCUGUAAAUAUAAAAAUGUUAAUUUAAAGCUAUACACAUACCAGGUUCAAAGAAGAUGCAAGCCACAUGUCAGU